GGGAAAUUAUUAGAGGUAGUGAAGACCGGACGCAGAAAAAUAGAACGAGUCUUCGUGAUCAGAGUCGACGGAUGGGAUCGGUCGAGUGGGCAUCCGAUCGACAACACGGGGUGCCUCAGUUGUCGGCAGAGAGGGGACGUCGGGGGAGGUCGGAGGCGAGGCGGGAGGCGAUGGCGGAGUGGUACAUCACGUCGUGGAAGGCCUCCGUCUCCAUGCUCCGCAUCCGCAGCUCCCUUGCCUUCUCCUCCGUGAACGCCGCGAACCUUCGCCCCGCCGGCCGCCUCCUCUCCUCUUCCCCCGCCGACGCCGACGCCCCUUUCUUGGGGGAAUCCUCCGCGGGUCCUGCUCC
rnacentral:lncRNA from 1 species